GAAUUUUUUAAAAGAUCAUACAGUUCAGCAACGUUUUCUAAUACUUCCAAUCCAGAAUCUUAAUUCACAAUUCACAUUACUGAAAAAAUGAUGAAGUUAUGCCUUACCCGACAGUUUUUGUAUGAAAACUCCACAAUAUUACGAAAAUGAUUAUAUACACUUUUACAAUCAGCUUAGCAUAAUUAUGCUUAUAGAAAUGGAAAU